GAUGAACGCUGGCGGCGUGCUUAACACAUGCAAGUCGAAUGCUGAAGCCUGGAGCUUGCUUUGGGUGGAUGAGUGGCGAACGGGUGAGUAUCACGUGAGGAACCUGCCCUGAACUUCGGGAUAAGCCUGGGAAACUGGGUCUAAUACUGGAUAGGACAUCUCAUCGCAUGGUGGGGUGUGGAAAGCUUUUUGCGGUUUGGGAUGGUCUCGCGGCCUAUCAGCUGGUUGGUGGGGUAAUGGCUUACCAAGGCUUUGACGGGUAGCCGGCCUGAGAGGGUGACCGGCCACACUGGGACUGAGACACGGCCCAGACUCUUACGGGAGGCAGCAGUGGGGGAUAUUGCACAAUGGGCGCAAGCCUGAUGCAGCGACGCCGCGUGAGGGAUGACGGCCUUCGGGUUGUAAACCUCUUUCAGUUGGGAAGAAGCCCCUUUGUGGGUGACGGUACUUUCAGAAGAAGCACCGGCUAACUACGUGCCAGCAGCCGCGGUAAUACGUAGGGUGCGAGCGUUAUCCGGAAUUAUUGGGCGUAAAGAGCUCGUAGGCGGUUUGUCACGUCUGCUGUGAAAGCUGAAGGCUUAACCUUUCAGUGUGCAGUGGGUACGGGCAGGCUGGAGUGCAGUAGGGGAGACUGGAAUUCCUGGUGUAGCGGUGAAAUGCGCAGAUAUCAGGAGGAACACCGAUGGCGAAGGCAGGUCUCUGGGCUGUUACUGACGCUGAGGAGCGAAAGCAUGGGGAGCGAACAGG
rnacentral:rRNA from 1 species